GUAAAAUGUAACAUGGACCUAAGAACUACUGUGAAUAAAUAGCUUGACUUUUAAUACAAGAGAGUAUAUUGAAUUUAAAGCUAAGAAUCUGGGAAUUCUAGAGUACUGUCUGCUAGAAACAUUAUUAUGUCAAAAAUAACAAAAAGGGUUAUUUGACAUGAUUUGCUGAUCACUAAGCCCACUGAGGGAAGCCCUCCAAGGUUUAUGUGAGAAGUAGUCAGUUUUUUACUGGUGCAGAAGAAAUGCUUUUUAUUGCUCCAAGGAUGGCACUGAGCCCCACAAAGCAACCACUGGGGAAUAUCAGGUUAAUAGCAUGAAUCUGUGGUUAUAAAACAAGCACACUGUUUUAAAAACAUAUUUAAAGUAAUUCAUGAGUUGGAUGUUUCCUGAUAGGUAUACUUUUCAGUUUAGGCAUUUAAAAAAAAGUCUGCAGUGUACCUUUAUUUUCACUUUUACUUUGGUGUUUUGAUGUCUAUAGAAAUGAGCAGUUUCUCUACUUCUUUCCCAGAAAUUAAUCUCCAAUGCUGACGUGAGCACAAAGACCUUAUGUACUGCGCUGGGAAAUAUGUUGUGUUUUAAGAAUAAAAAUUUUCAUUAGAGUUAGUUCAUGCAUCACAGAUAUUAUCCUUCCUGACAAGAGGAACACUGAAGCACAGACACUGUGUUGGGCUGUAGUUCUCAAUGGAAAAAUUAAGCUUUUCAAAAUGUUAGUCACUGCCAUGCUAGAUGUUUCUUUAAGUCAUUUUUACUACCUGUUUUGAUAGAUUCUAAGAAUCAGUCUUACAUUGUAUUUUUCUAUGGCUUACUGUUAAAAUCUUAUUCAUAAAAAUAACUAUCACGCAUGGAAAUAGUAUACACCAAAAUCAUAAACCAGAAAGUAAUUUAUAUUUAACCCUCAUAACAGUACUUCAAAGUAGAAAUUAUCUCAUAUUGUAGAGGAAACACAGGCUCAGAUAGGAUAUAAAUUGCCCAUAUCACAAAACUAGUAAGUGAUGGAGCUAGAAUACAAACAAGAUCUGCCUAUUUACACAAAUCAAUAAUUUUUCCUCUAUAACAUGUUGUCAUUACAUGCCUUUGGUUUUCAAGUGAAAUGCACUCAACUUCACAUUUUAAAAUAUGCCACAAAUGUACCCAUAAAGUAAGUGAACUUGACUAUUGAGUGGGACCACAAUUAUUAAAAAGUUUGCCUUGGGACCUUUGAAACAAAGACAGUAUAGUGACCCUCGGGGAACUGAGUUACAUGCCCAAGUCCAGCCAAGAGAUGGAACUUGUGGGACCUCAGGUCUCCUGCUCCAGUCUAAGUCCAGCUCUUUCCUUCCAUAGGAAAGGAAGAAGAAGGAAACCAUGGCUCCUUUGGCACUUUAGAAAGAAAUCCGAGCAAUCCAGGGGCCAAAGCUCACACAGGCAAUGAGUUCUCUUCACCUUUGUCUGGACCACUGUACCCAGGGCUCAUGGAUAAUCCUCAAGCCCUGUGGGCUGUCAAGUAGGACGUGCCUAACUGCUAAGACUUGUGCUAACAGGAGCUCUGGGACCUCAGGGAGAAUGGGCUCGCGUUCAUCUUGCACCUGCCUUUGUUUUAGCACUGAUCUAACUCUCACAUUUUUUACCCACCAGUCUCCCUAGUAGCCUGAAAGUCAUUCAGAGCCAGGGGUUGUGAUGGUCCCCUCUGUGUCCACUGUCCCCAGCACAGGGUCCAGCACACCACAGUGGGUAGCAAAUGCUAUUUAAAUGAGAUGGGAUGAAAUUCCCUUCCUUCACUUUCUUCACCUCAAGGUAAGGACCAUGUUCCUGUUUCCAUCAUUCCCUGUCCUUCUCCUGUCUGUGGUGACAGCUUCCUGCUCCAAAACAAAAGCCUGUGCAGAUACCCAGAAGACCUGCUCCAUGAUUACCUGUGGCAUCCCCGUCACCAAUGGCACCCCAGGCAGAGAUGGGCGAGAUAGACCCAAGGGGGAAAAGGGAGAGCCAGGUCUGGGACAGGUCAAGGGCUCAGAGGUUUGCAGGGCCCUCCUGGGAAGAUGGGGCCCCCAGGAAACACAGGGACUUCUGGAAUUCCAGGACCUAGGGGCCAAAAAGGAGAUCGUGGGGACAAUUCAGUUGCUGAGGCUAAGCUGGCCAACUUAGAGAGAAAGCUAUAGAGCCUGAGAUCAGAACUGGACCACACGAAGAAGCAGACAGGAUCUCCGUAUGUUGUCCAGGCUGGUCUUUAACUCCUGACCUCAAGUGAUCCUCCCCAAUCAGCCUCCCAAAGUGCUGGGAUAACAGGUUCAUCCCUCUCUGUGCCUUGGUUUUCAUAUUUGGAAAAUGACGAGGAGGAUUUAACUAGAUUAUCUCUAAGGUUGAAUGGGGAAAGAACAUUCCUGGAAUCACCAGGCAAGAAGAGGAUUGGAGAGAUGGGGUCUCACUCUGUUGCCCACGCUGGUCUCAAACUCCUGGUCUCAAGCAAUUCUCCUGCCUCAGCCUACCGAAGUUCUGAGAUUACAAGUGUAAGCCAUCAUACCCAGCACCAAUCUGUAUCUUUUAAGUGGAACAUUUACUCCAUUUAUUAUCAAGGUUAAUAUUGAUAUGUGAUGUUUUGUUCCUGUCAUGAUAAUUGUUACCCAGUUGCUUUUUAGUCUCAAUUAUGUAAUUGCUUUAUAUAAUCUGUGAGUUUUUCACUUUAAUGUGCUUUUAUGAUGAGGAGUAUUGUCCAUUCAUUUCCAUGUUUAGAACUUUAAGCAUUUCUUGUAGUGCUGGUCUUGUGGUGACAAAUUCCCUUUGCAUUUGUUGUAUGGGAAAAACUUUAUUUCUCCUUCAUUUAUGCAGCUUAGUUUAGCAGGAUACAAAAUUCUUGGCUGGCAGGAUUUUUGUUUAAGUAGAUUAAACAUAAGACCCCAAUCUCUUCUGGCUUGUAAGGUUUCUGCUAAGAAGUCCAUUGUUAGUCUGUUGGGUUUUCCUGUAUAGAUUAGACAUUUCUCUCUUGCUGCUUUUAGGAUGUUUUCCUUCACAUUGACUUUGGAUAGUCUGAUGACGAUAUGCCUUUAUGAGGUUUCUCUUGUAAAGCAUCUUCCAGGUGUUCUCUGAGCAUCUCCUAUCUGGAUGUCUAAUUCUCUAGCAAGACCAGGGAAGUUUUCCUGAAUUAUUCCCUCAAAUAGGUUUUCCAAGCUUUUAAUUUUUUUUCUUCUCCCUCAGGAAUGUCUAUAUAUUGUAUAUUUGGUAACUUUAUGUAAUUCUAUAUUUUUCAAAGUCUUUGUUCAUUUUUAAAAAUUUAUUUUUUCUGUAUUUCUGUCUGACUAGGUUAAUUCAAAUGACUGGCCUUCAGGCUCUGAAAUUAUUUCUUCUGCUUGGUCUAGUCUUUUGCUAAAAGUUUCAACUAUAUUUUAUAGUUCCUUCAAUAAAUUUUUAUUUCUAGAA
rnacentral:lncRNA from 1 species